CCAUUUUGCCAUCUCGCUGUUCCCAGCAUACGCUGCUUUUGCACUUGCUUUUGUGACGGAGGCUUCAUGGCCCACAUUCAUUGCCGCUACGGAGACAGAGUGCUACUACUAUGAUCCCCGCCACUUUAGCGAGGAGUACUGGAUGCAGAAAACCACUGCCUGGCCUGCACUAGGUUUCCCUGCAGCAACCCAGCAUGGCUGCUUUGGAGAAGGAGCUCUCGGCCUCAUGGGGGCCUAUAGGUGCAACGAGGGGCCCCUGGAGCACGCUGCCAGCUACCACCCGGCUCAAGUGGUGAACGUGAGCCAGAGAGGUGAUGCUGACCUCCCCACCGAUCAAGGUGACCUGGAGCCCCUGCAGCAGGUGCCGCUGGCCCAGCAGGAUCCUUCAGAUGCCAGGGAUCGGCGUGGGGGCCGGGGCAGGGGCCCACGAAUCCGCUUCAGGAAGUGGCAGGUGCAGACACUGGAAAGUGUUUUCCAAGAUACUCAGUACCCAGAUAUGAUCACAAGACUGGAGCUUGCAUGCAACCUGGAUGUGGCUGAAAGCAGAGUGAAGGUUUGGUUUAACCAUCGGAGAGCCAAAUAUGGGAAAAGCCAGAGAGAAAUGCUCAUGAAUGCACCACCUGAUUCCCAGGACCACCGUCCUAGUGAGGAGGUGGGAGAGCUGUUCUAGGAUGCCAUCCCUUGUCAAAUGCAGAUCGUGCUUGGAGUUUUUGUUCCCACAGUCACCUGUGCCACCAAUGGGAGCCCAUGCUACAGUUAUCUGCACAGCAC
ensembl:lncRNA